AGCGAACGCUGGCGGCAGGCUUAACACAUGCAAGUCGAGCGGGCGUAGCAAUACGUCAGCGGCAGACGGGUGAGUAACGCGUGGGAACGUACCUUUUGGUUCGGAACAACCCAGGGAAACUUGGGCUAAUACCGGAUAAGCCCUUACGGGGAAAGAUUUAUCGCCAAAAGAUCGGCCCGCGUCUGAUUAGCUUGUUGGUGAGGUAACGGCUCACCAAGGCGACGACGGGUAGCCGGCCUGAGAGGGCGACCGGCCACACUGGGACUGAGACACGGCCCAGACCCCUACGG
rnacentral:rRNA from 1 species